rnacentral:rRNA from 1 species
AUACGGAGGGUGCAAGCGUUAAUCGGAAUUACUGGGCGUAAAGCGCGCGUAGGCGGUUUGGUAAGUCGGAUGUGAAAGCCCCGGGCUCAACCUGGGAAUUGCAUUCGAUACUGCCAGACUAGAGUAUGGUAGAGGGAAGUGGAAUUCCGGGUGUAGCGGUGAAAUGAGUAGAUAUCCGGAGGAACACCAGUGGCGAAGGCGACUUCCUGGACCAAUACUGACGCUGAGGUGCGAAAGCGUGGGGAGCAAACAGGAUUAGAUACCCUAGUAGUCC